GACAGAGGGUGCAAACGUUGUUCGGAAUUACUGGGCGUAAAGCGCGUGUAGGCGGCCCUGCAAGUCGGAUGUGAAAUCCCACGGCUCAACCGUGGAAGUGCAUUCGAAAACUGCAGGGCUAGAGUCCUGGAGAGGAAGGUGGAAUGCUUGGUGUAGAGGUGAAAUUCGUAGAUAUCAAGCGGAACACCGGUGGCGAAGGCGGCCUUCUGGACAGUGACUGACGCUGAGACACGAAAGCGUGGGGAGCAAACAGG
rnacentral:rRNA from 1 species